UACGUAGGGCGCAAGCGUUGUCCGGAAUUAUUGGGCGUAAAGAGCUCGUAGGCGGCUUGUCACGUCGGAUGUGAAAGCCCGAGGCUUAACCUCGGGUCUGCAUUCGAUACGGGCUAGCUAGAGUGUGGUAGGGGAGAUCGGAAUUCCUGGUGUAGCGGUGAAACGCGCAGAUAUCAGGAGGAACACCGGUGGCGAAGGCGGAUCUCUGGGCCAUUACUGACGCUGAGGAGCGAAAGCGUGGGGAGCAAACAGG
rnacentral:rRNA from 1 species